rnacentral:rRNA from 1 species
AGGACGAACGCUGGCGGCGUGCUUAACACAUGCAAGUCGAACGGAAAGGCCCUUCGGGGUACUCGAGUGGCGAACGGGUGAGUAACACGUGGGUGAUCUGCCCCGCACUUUGGGAUAAGCCUGGGAAACUGGGUCUAAUACCGAAUAGGACCAUGGCAUGCAUGUGCUGUGGUGGAAAGCUUUUGCGGUGUGGGAUGGGCCCGCGGCCUAUCAGCUUGUUGGUGGGGUUAAGGCCUACCAAGGCGACGACGGGUAGCCGGCCUGAGAGGGUGUCCGGCCACACUGGGAUUGAGAACGGCCCAGACUCCUACGGGGGGCAGCAGUGAGGAAUUUUCCGCAAUGGACGCAAGUCUGACGGAGCAACGCCGCGUGCAGGAUGAAGGUUUUCGGAUCGUAAACUGCUUUUCUCGGGGACGAGCAAGGACGGUACCCGAGGAGAAGCCCCGGCUAACUACGCGCCAGCAGCCGC